rnacentral:snoRNA from 1 species
UGCAGAUGAUGAUACUGAAUAUUUGCUAUCUAAAACACACUGUUGACAAUUUCCCACCAAGAUCGCUGAUGCA